rnacentral:lncRNA from 1 species
AGUCAUACCUUUCUGCUCUUGUCAGACAAUUAAGGGGUCUUUGAAUACUUCAGCCCUAAUAAUUUGCUUCCUAACAUACAUAUUGCAGUGCUUAUCUAAUUUUAAAUAUUCUUUUGUUUCAACACCUAAUUUUCUAUUUUGAUCUAUCUUUAUGUUUACAAUAUAUUUUGCUCUGUGUUCAUUCUUUGAUUUCAGAACUUCAAUCUUUCUGAAGCGUGUUUUCAGAGUUUCCUUUGAGUUUCUUUAGUGGAAUUCUGCUGGUGGUGUUUUGUUUUUUGUCUCUAAAUAUGUGAUUUAGCCAUAGGUUGAUGAAUAUUUUUCUUGGUUGAGGAUUUCAGAAUGGCAUUAUUAUUCUUAACAAAUAAUAUUGUUUAUUUUACCUUUCAUGCUUUCAGAUUUCAAUAUGAUUAAAGGAGUGAGGACACAGCGAAAGUGAGACAAGGAAAAGAGAACAAAAUAAAACAGGAAAGACAGAAAAGCCAAUACCACACGUGUUAAGAGUUUCAAGGAAAAUAUGUUGGGAGUUCCUGGCAUAGAGAAUGUCACAAAGACAUGUUUUCAAUAGUAGUGCUAUCCCGAGGGCAGAGAAGACCCAGAGAAAGCCCAAGUGGCUGCUGGAACAAAAUCAGACACCGUGCCACCUGUCCACACUCCUUGGCUCUGCCAUCAUGCUGAAGAUCGCUUUAAAGGACUGGCUUCCCUCCCCCCAAAAUUAAAAGAGCACAGACUGAGAAACUGAAUGUGGGAGACAGCAGUGGAUUAUGCUGUUCUCAGGGGUCACCUCAGGUUUGGAAGCAUUCUUUCAAAUUAACCCAUCUCAGGCCAUCUGCAGAGAAGAAAGGUGGUACCUAACUUUUUUUCUUGUCGGCAUUUGGUAGGGGUGUUUUAUUGACCAAAUAUGUUCCCACAACCUAGUUUUUUGUGACUAACUAAAUAUAGUAGAGUUUUAAAUUUUAUCAUCAAAAUCUAUAGACAAUUUUUGAUGAAAAUAGACUCCAUCUCUAUGUCCUGCUUUUCUUCUUCUUAUUAAUUACAUUGCUGUAUAAAAGAACAAGACUUCAGCAUCAAGAAUAUCUUGUCUCUUGGCAUUGAAUUUAUACAAGGUGCUCUUUCUUUAAUGCUGUCUCAAAGGACAUAUUUUUACUCAUUAAAAAGGAAGAUCGGAAUCUAGUUGUAUGCACUGCUCCAACAUAUUAAUAAUUAAAAUUAGGAGGUAAAUGUGGUCAAAGCUAUAGAAAGACUGAGAUGUCAUUUAUAUGGAUUACUCUAUAGCACUCUACAAACAGAAAUUGUUAAAUAAUAGUUUAUAUAAAUAUUUUGUAGCAUUUCAAAUAUUUGAGUGCUUGAAGUUUCUCCUCUUCUAUAGUUCAGAUUAUCAAUUUGAAGACUUACUCCGCUAGUUAAUAUGUUUUUAGUCUCGUUUGAGUAUUAUAUAAAAGCAAUUUUCAGUUAAAUGUGUUCCGCUUACAUAAAACGUUACAAAUUAUUGAGGAUUUAAUUACUUAUUCAUGUUCCUGUAAUGUCUUUAGAAGAUUUUCUUAUUAUUACCUAUCAAUAUAUGUAUGCUUUGUCAAAGAAAAAUCAAACAUAUAUAUCAUUGAAAUUGAAACUUUUUAAAAGUACUUA